GAAAAAGAAAAUGUGUUUCGCCGAUUCAUCUCUAGAAAUGCAACUGUAGCAAGCAUCUCACUAUCACUAACGUUAUCCACAUUCAUAUUUCCACAAAUUAAAUGAUAUAUCCAGCAACAAACAAGUCUAAAAGUCGGACGUUAGGAAGGAAGGAUUGUGCAAAGAGUGGUUGCUAUGGAGGCGAUACACUCAUCUCGGUUGGUGUUGAGUUCUGUUGACAGUUGAGUUCCGUUGCUCUGAUUGGUUGUAGGUCUAUUAAAUUGAGCGCAGAGGCAUUUUUGGUUGAAACACGCCCCAUAAUCACAGCCCAACGGAGAAGUAUCAGACUCAUAUUCUGACUCGAAUCUGAGUAUGACCACGUCAGGCUAAAUAUUCAUUACUCAAUG